rnacentral:rRNA from 1 species
UACGGAAGGGGCAAGCGUUGUUCGGAAUCAUUGGGCGUAAAGGGCGCGUAGGUGGCUCUGUAUGUCUGCCGUGAAAGCAUACAGCUCAACUGUAUUGUGUCGGUAGAAACUGCAGGACUUGAGGCUGGGAGGGGCUGGUGGAAUUCCCUGUGUAGCGGUGAAAUGCGUAGAGAUGGGGGAGAACACUCGUGGCGAAGGCGGCCAGCUAGACCAGUUCUGACACUGAGGCGCGACAGCGUGGGGAGCAAACAGG